GAGAUCCUCAAUCUCUCAGCUUAGUUCUCUAAUGUUAAGUCAUAUCGACUCUUAGCAUAGUACUUUAUUUGCCACUGUUCUUUCUACCUUUAUUUUGCCAGAAUUUUCUAUGGGUAAGUUAUUCCAUCUAUAACACUUUAUGAUGUGUAAGCCCACACGAAGGUACCCAGAGCCCAUAUACAAUGUGCUCUUAUUUACCUGUGAGAAGUCCAAGCCAGUAACCCCAAUCUUAACUCAGUGGUGAGAAGGAACUUAAAACUCAGAACAGGACUUGUUUUCAUUCCUUUCUUGUUAGUAUCAUUCACAACUUCUGUAGAAGUUGGGAGUCCAGAAAGCAAAGGGCGGGAUUUUCUCACAUGAUCUUGACCCAUGUUGGGUUUUCUGUCUUCCAUCUCCACCUUUAACAUUUAAUAUACCACAUCUCUCCAAAGGUCAUGCCUAUUCUAGUGUGCUGCACUCAGUGAAGAAGUUGGAGUAAGUGUCAAAAGAGUGAAGGCCAAGCUCUAACUGUGACAGAGAGUUUGAGAUGGAUAAAUGAUGCUUUGAAAAACACGUGACUUUUCGCUGGGACCUCCAUCUCCUGUAAAUAAGCAACAACCUGUUCAAGGAUCAAUGUGCCUCUGAGAUGAGGACAACAAGGCAUCACUAAGAAAUCUAUAUAGUCCUACCUCCCAGAAGAUGAGUGAAGGUGUUACAGUUAGGAUGACUGUUGACAUGAGGCUCUCAGAGGUUCACCACAAAUCGGAAGGACAAGAUUGAGAUUGCCAUUCUUAUGGUCUUUCCAUAGUCUCCCCUUGCAAUUAGAAUUGACCAUCACUGUGGACCUCAUCUAUUAGAUGAAGGAUGUCUAGAAAGCCUCUGGACAGGCAGCAUGGCAGAAAUCAACUCUUUCCAAAAAAUAAAAAAGGCUGCUGCUGACACAGUGGAUAGAGCACACACAAGCUCCCUGUCUGACACCUUCAGCUCUUGCAUAUCCCCUUGGCUAACAUUUCAGAGCUUCUGAUUCUUCAGACAUCAGCUUCUUGAUACUGAAGAGAUUGUUCUACCUGAUGAGCCCAGGCCUAGAAGAUGGACUACAUCCAAGAAGCCUGGCCAAUCUAAGGCCAAGUCACAUCUUUAAGUAAUAUUUGAAAGCAUUUGUGCACAGGAUAAAGGUGCAAGGACCAAAGUCUCCUUAGACAUUCCAGCCUACAAAGGGUCUGACAGACUCAGGUCAAAGGUUACGUCUGAAGCCUAGAUCAUGAAGAAGGCCCCACUCCACAGGAGAAGCCUGUGGCUGAUACUAUUGCAACUAGGACUAUGAUUGUGAAACUUGUGUCUGUGGAUAGCAGAUUCACGAAUCUUGUGCCCAGGUAUCCACAGGCCUUUUUUCAUACAUUCCUUGGUAUAACUUUGCAAGUCCUGACUUUGGAAGUGUUGGGUCCUUAUGCUAUCUCACUUGACAUAUAGUCCAAGAAAGAUUUUUACCCCUUUAAGGGGCUGGAAAUAGACUGGACUCACAGUUACCAUUAAAACUGAAGUUCUG
ensembl:lncRNA